rnacentral:misc_RNA from 1 species
GUGGGAGGGGGCUUGCCCCCGAUUGCAGUCUGCCAGUUGAUGCAUCUGUGACUGACACACAGCAAUCGGGGGCAAGCCCCCUCCCAC